UCCGGCCGGGGGCGCCGCGGGCCCGGGCGCCCCCUCAUUCUCUUCGGUGUCGCGGCGGCCGCCCCGCCGGCCGGAGCUGGGGAGCGGCGGGGGAGGGGAGGGAAGGGGAGCGGUGGGUGUUGGGUUUCGGGCGGUGAGUCACGGCCCCCUCCCGCCGCGUGCGCACCCCCCCCUCCCGCCCCGGGGGCCCCGGGAUGGCUGGCCGGCCGCCGGGGGAUGGGCCUCGACCCGGAGAACCCCAAAAGGAGCGCUUGGAUCCCGGGCCUUCAUUCCCUCCCCGAAGAUCGGAGGAAGGCAGACUCCGAGGCGGAACCUGGGGCCUCCCGUCACCAUCCAGGCCCGAGAGAGGAGGAGAGCUGGGGACGUGGAAGGGACCGUGCAGAGCUGGGCGCCCACCCUGCCCGCCGAGGCCGCCCUCAGAGGUGGGCGAGCCUGGGACCUCGCAUGGAGCAGGGCCCACGGCCUGCAGAGCGGGAGGCCACUGGCCGGCCUCUAGGCCCCUCCGGCCUCGGAAUUUAUCCUGAAACUGGAAGGACCAGAUCCCGGAGGUGGGAACAGCGACCUCACACCCCAAGCUGGGAGUCUGGCAGGGAGGGAAGGCCUCCGACCACAGCCAAGCCAGCUGCAGCCUCCUCCAUCCCCCUUCUUAAAGGGGCAAAGGAAAAGAAGGAAGCCGACCAGAGAGAAAGAGGCCUCAGGGAAAUGUUUAAAAUGGUGCAGCAGCACACCAGACUGGUGAUAGGAAGGGUGAGGCAGGAGGACUGUCUGGUGCGACCUGCAGCUCGCAGGGUGGUUCUGUACUUUUUUUUUCACCCCGUGAGCCGGGCUGGACCUCCUGGGCAGCUCUCUGGUUCAUCCCUCCUGCAUUCCUGCUGUCUUCACACCCGUCUACCCGCUGGACUCCCGCAAUAGCAUGUCCUCUGCGAGAGCCCCCUCCGUGCUGCCAGAGUCACGGCCUAAAACAAGGCAGGCAGCCCAUCCUCCAGGCCUGCCCCUCUGCCACGUCCAGUGCUUGGUAUUAUCUGUCCACGCUUCUCCUCCAGUGCGGCUCCACAUGACCCCUCUGUCCCUUCCUGCCUUCCCCGGGAGCACGCUGGUUAUUGCAUAAGACAAACACAAAGGCCAUGUUUACUUCAUCUUACUUCAUCCCUAUUCUGUCCUCCACACUUGCAGCGCCCCCAUCCUGAGACUGUGUUCUGCUUUCAGACCAAGUCUGUAGACAGCGGGCAUGUAUUAAUAGAAUAAAGUGUCAGAAUGAGUAACGGGAAGGGUUGAGCCAGGAUCCCAGGGACUAGGACUCGGGACCUUGGCCAAAUGACUUCACCUCUCCAGGCCUCAGUUUCCUCUUCUUAAAAUAUGGAUUACCCACCUGUUUGACAGGUACUCAGACUAUUAUGUCUGCUGUGGUCAUUAAAACCGUUCCCCAGCUCUCUUCUGGUUCUUUCCCCUCCUGGGGAUGUGGUAGGAACUCACUACCCCAAUCUCUUGAAAUGAGAUGUGGGCCCAUAUGCCUUGCUUUUAGGGCAAUGGAAUGAGAGCACUGUUUUCGUGUAGAAACUUUUCAGAUCCAGUGGGCAAGUCCUGUCUUUUGACAAUUCUGAAAGUACAGUCUUGGCGAUCCUAUCUUGACAGCGGUGGGAGUACCGAGAUGGAGCCUCCCCCAGCCAGCCUGGGUCUCUGUAAAGAUGGCAAAGCAGUCCCAGGGAACCUGUGUUGGGAAAGUAGUGUGAGUGGGAUUUCUGGAGCUAAGGGGGUGUUACAGGAGCAUAACCCAGCUUAUUCUAGCAAAUAGUUUGCUCCCAAGUGCCUGGGACAUCAUCCGUAUUUGUUGAAUGACUAACUCCUACCACAGGCUGGUACCAUUCACGACAGUAAGCCCUUCAGGGUGGUGGUUGUAAAUCGGUAUUUUCCAUUGAGGAAACCACAUCAGAACACUUAAGCCAUUUGCCUGAGAUUUCACAGGUUGUAAAAAAGCAGCACCUGGAUUUCAACCCUACCUGUCCAGUCCCAAGCCUUGUGCUCUUCCUCUUCCACGGAUGCUGUGCUGCCUCCCCUUAAAUGGGCGGGAUGGAAACCCCCAGUACAAUGCCUGGCACACAGUCCUACCCGAGCACUGGGAGUUCCUCUCCAGACUGAAUUCCUAUAGCAUUUAUAAUUGGAACCAUACUUCAGCACAAUGUUAUCACGCAUUGUAUUCCGUGUUUUCCACAGAUAAAGCUUUUCCUCCCACAAGACGCCUGGAUUUAGAUAGAGCUUGCAUUCUGGAGUCAGACUGCCUGGGUUCAAAUCCCUGUUCCCCCACCCGCGAUUGACAAUCUUGGGCAACUCUGUGCCCUCUCUAUGCCUCGGUUCUCUCCUCUGCAAAACGGCGAUGGUAAUAACAUAGGUGAUAUUGGUAGCAGUAACAAUAAUAUGUCCCGUGGGGGUUAAAGAGUAUAAUAUAUACAUUCAAUAAAUCAUGGCUAUUAAUAGACUUACUUUUCAUCUUCCGUGAGCUCCUACUAGAAUGCAGACAAUUCCAAGCAGUUUAAUCCUACUGCUUGUAUAGACUGAUUUCUGGGAUCAUCCCUGAUACAGGAUAGUUGUUGUAACAUCUAUAGUUGGAAGUAUUACAUCCACACAGUCCUAUAACUUAGAUCUCAUAAGACUCAUUGCUUGUUUUUUAUUACACUUCCUUUCCAAACCACUUAAAAGGAAGAAGGUAUGUGUGCUUUCUUGACACUUCUUUGUUCAGAAAACGGACCUUUAUAGUAUUACUUCUAAUCACCAUAAAGCUGCCAUACGGGUGUUAUAAUCCCCAUUUGGCUGUUGAGGACAUUGAGUCUCAAAGUGAAGUUAAAUAGCUUGUGUUCGGACAGCUGGUAACUAGCUAAAUCAGGGUUUGAACCCAAGUCUCUGACCAAGACUUUGCCCAGGCCCCUAAUUCAAGCUGCCUGACAUCCCACCUCACAUCAAUGAGUAGCUGUGCUUUGGUUGACACUAGUCUUUCGAUUUUCUAGAUGAGGUUUUGGAAAGUUACCAAAGAUUGUGACAUUUCCAACUUCAGUAUCUUAUCUGGUAGGCAUCUUGCAUUAAAGAGCAAUCUAAGAAGCUGCUCCUUCUUCACGGAGGCAGAGAUUGCUAGCUGCCCACCAAAAAUUCAUAGGGGAGUUGAUGAACUGCUGCUCAGCUGAGGCUAUAUUUCCCAGCCUCCCUUGCAUCCAUACAUGGUCACGUGACUAGUUCUCUCUAAUGGAACAUGAGCAAAAAUAAUGGCCAGGAUGUUUAAAACUGGGUGUGCCUUCCCCACUUUGCCUUGCUGGAAGCAAAAGAUUCCAAGGCUCCAGUAGAUGGUGGACUCACUGGAGAAAAGGAGCCUGGGUCCCUGCAUCACCUUGAGGAAUGAAGCCACCCUCUGAUCAGGACAUUGGGCUGGUACAUGAGUAGGAAAUAAACUUGUAUUCUGCUAAGCCCCAGACAUUAGAGGGUGCUCUUGUUAUAGCAGCAAGUACUGCCCUCACUAAUACAUACAGCUUAUACUAAGUCAUAUUUACUCAUAAAAGCAACAUUGAAGAUUAUAACAACUAUCUGAAUAGGUGAUACCAAAAACGCCAUUUUUUUUAAUUAUUAUUUCCUGUCUACUUACUUAUAUAAGGAGACAGCAGAGUCUGUGGAGCCAGUUUUUCCUUUAAUUUUUUCUCCUCAGUUACAUGUAUCAGAGGAGUAUAGAGUGGUCAUAAGACGGUAAACAAUAAAUUUACUCAUUUAACUAUUCAAUAUAUGUCUUAUUUUCUGAGUGCAUGCCAGGUAUCUGGGGCUGAGGGUGUCCCGGAACAACACAAGAAUGGUCUCAUCUUCGUGAAGCUCCCAGUCUGUGGGUACUCAACACAAUUAACAGCAGUCAUCUGACCUCUGGCCACCAGACUUCUUGGGAGCACUGAGGCUAUUUGAAUGUGAAAUAGAUACCUAAAAU